rnacentral:rRNA from 1 species
GUGCCAGCCGCCGCGGUAAUACGUAGGGGGCGAGCGUUGUCCGGAAUUACUGGGUGUAAAGGGCGUGUAGGCGGGGAUGCAAGUUACUGGUAAAAACCCGAGGCUCAACCACGGGCUUGCCGGUAAAACUGUAUCUCUUGAGUGUAGGAGAGGGAAGUGGAAUUCCCGGAGUAGCGGUGAAAUGCGUAGAUACCGGGAGGAACACCAGUGGCGAAGGCGGCUUCCUGGCCUACUACUGACGCUGAGGCGCGAAAGCUAGGGGAGCGAACGGGAUUAGAUACCCCGGUAGUCCUAGCCGUAAACGAUGGUCACUAGGUGUGGGUGGUGGUCAAGCCAUCCGUGCCGGAGCUAACGCAAUAAGUGACCCACCUGGGGAGUACGGCCGCAAGGUUGAAACUCAAAUAAAUUGACGG